rnacentral:rRNA from 1 species
UCACUUUCAACAACGGAUCUCUUGGCUCUCGCAUCGAUGAAGAACGUAGCGAAGUGCGAUAAGUAAUGUGAAUUGCAAAAUUCCGUGAAUCAUCGAAUCUUUGAACGCAAAGUGCACUCUCUGGCAACCCGGGGAGUAUGCCUGUUUGAGGGUCAGU